UACGAAGGGGGCUAGCGUUGUUCGGAAUUACUGGGCGUAAAGCGCGCGCAGGCGGUUCUUCAAGUCAGAGGUGAAAGCCCAGAGCUCAACUCUGGAAUGGCCUUUGAGACUAGAGAACUAGGGUACGGGAGAGGUGAGUGGAAUUCCGAGUGUAGAGGUGAAAUUCGUAGAUAUUCGCAAGAACACCAGUGGCGAAGGCGGCUUACUGGUCCGGUUCUGACGCUCAUGCACGAAAGCGUGGGGAGCAAACAGG
rnacentral:rRNA from 1 species